CCUACGGGAGGCAGCAGUGGGGAAUAUUGCACAAUGGGCGCAAGCCUGAUGCAGCCAUGCCGCGUGUGUGAAGAAGGCCUUCGGGUUGUAAAGCACUUUCAGCGGGGAGGAAGGCGGUGAGGUUAAUAACCUCAUCGAUUGACGUUACCCGCAGAAGAAGCACCGGCUAACUCCGUGCCAGCAGCCGCGGUAAUACGGAGGGUGCAAGCGUUAAUCGGAAUUACUGGGCGUAAAGCGCACGCAGGCGGUCUGUCAAGUCGGAUGUGAAAUCCCCGGGCUCAACCUGGGAACUGCAUUCGAAACUGGCAGGCUAGAGUCUUGUAGAGGGGGGUAGAAUUCCAGGUGGAGCGGUGAAAUGCAUAGAGAUCUGGAGGAAUACCGGUGGCGAAGGCGGCCCCCUGGACAAAGACUGACGCUCAGGUGCGAAAGCGUGGGGAGCAAACAGGAUUAGAUACCCGAGUAGUC
rnacentral:rRNA from 1 species